UGGAUCCAGACUUUGAUUAUGGCUCAGGAUGAACGCUGGCGGCGUGCCUAACACAUGCAAGUCGAACGAAGCUUGACGGAUGAUUUCUUCGGAAUGAAACCUGAUAUGACUUAGUGGCGGACGGGUGAGUAACACGUGAGCAACCUGCCUUUCAGAGGGGGAUAACGGCUGGAAACGGUCGCUAAUACCGCAUGAUGUGUUCGGAUGGCAUCAUCUGAACAUCAAAGAUUUAUCGCUGAAAGAUGGGCUCGCGUCUGAUUAGAUAGUUGGUGGGGUAACGGCCUACCAAGUCUACGAUCAGUAGCCGGACUGAGAGGUUGAACGGCCACGUUGGGACUGAGAUACGGCCCAGACUCCUACGGGAGGCAGCAGUGGGGAAUAUUGCACAAUGGGGGAAACCCUGAUGCAGCAACGCCGCGUGAAGGAUGACGGUUUUCGGAUUGUAAACUUCUUUUCUUAGUGACGAAGACAGUGACGGUAGCUAAGGAAUAAGCAUCGGCUAACUACGUGCCAGCAGCCGCGGUAAUACGUAGGAUGCAAGCGUUAUCCGGAUUUACUGGGUGUAAAGGGAGCGCAGGCGGGACUGCAAGUUGGAUGUGAAAUACCGUGGCUUAACCACGGAACUGCAUCCAAAACUGUAGUUCUUGAGUGAAGUAGAGGCAAGCGGAAUUCCGAGUGUAGCGGUGAAAUGCGUAGAUAUUCGGAGGAACGCCAGUGGCGAAGGCGGCUUGCUGGGCUUUAACUGACGCUGAGGCUCGAAAGUGUGGGGAGCAAACAGGAUUAGAUACCCUGGUAGUCCACACUGUAAACGAUGAUAGCUAGGUGUGGGGGGUCUGACCCCUUCCGUGCCGGAGUUAACGCAUUAAGCUAUCCACCUGGGGAGUACGACCGCAAGGUUGCAACUCAAAGGAAUUGACGGA
rnacentral:rRNA from 1 species